rnacentral:rRNA from 1 species
UACGGGGGGAGCAAGCGUUGUUCGGAUUUACUGGGCGUAAAGCGUGCGCAGGCGGUCUGUUAAGACCGAUGUGAAAUCCCCGGGCUUAACCUGGGAACUGCAUUGGUGACUGGCAGGCUUUGAGUGUGGCAGAGGGAGGUAGAAUUCCACGUGUAGCAGUGAAAUGCGUAGAGAUGUGGAGGAACACCGGUGGCGAAGGCGGCAUCCUGGACCGGUAUUGACGCUGAGGCGCGAAAGCCAGGGGAGCAAACGGG